GUUUAUGCAUUAUAUGUAAAGGUAAUUCAAGAUUCAAAAUGAAGCUGAAGACAGUCUGGAGGAAAGUAUCUGAUUAUGUUCGAUAUGAUUUGAAGGAGAUUGCUUUUCCUUCAUCUUUACCGGACCCUCCCCACUUCAAAAAACGCAGGAAACUAUCUUUGAAGGAGCGCUAUCUUGUGCUGAAGGAAGCAUCUAGACUUUAUGCUGCAAGUAGGGUUAGGGACAUUGGUCCAGAACUUCGGCCCAAUGAUUACAAAAAGAAGCGUGAGAUUCUCGUGGACGAAGAAUAUGGUAGCAGAAAGCAUAAGGAACCGUCAACAUUAGAGGAUCUAGCUGUGGCUGCAAGAGGCGGAAUGGAGACACUACGACCAGCACUGCAACGAGUCUACAUGACAAGAGCUUCUGCAUAUAAAGAUGCACUUAAAAGUUUCAUACAAGGAUAUCAAGAAGGUAUUCAACAAACCAUGGAGAAAAUUAAAGACUCGAAAUCUUCUGAAGACACUGAUGCAUCCAGUUCCAAAGGACCAACUUGAGUUCCAACGGAAAAUUUGAGCACCAGAUUUCGUGAGACUCCUAUGUCAAAAGUCAAUGGUGGUAAUCUUCCAGUCUUCAUUCUUAAUUACUGGUUGAUUUUGACAGAGGCGUGGAACUAAAAGUAGGGAGGAGAAAAUAGCUCACUACAAGUUCCAAAACAGCUUACUUGAUUUCAAAUAGUAGCAAAUUUGAUUUCUAUGACGAAAGAAAUUACUUGUUCAACUAGACUACUUAUAAAUUGUGAGAUAUUUAUAUAUGUUAUGAAUAAAAUUGUAAUCAGAGUGAAUGUCUUUUGUAGAGAAUUUUACUUUGUGGUUAAGUUAUUUUUUUCCUAUAAAU